rnacentral:rRNA from 1 species
AUGUUUGUUAAGGAGUUACUCGAAGGGCACGUCAAAAAUUGUCGGGUAGCAUUUAGGAUGGAGCCGCGUAUCUUCAAAUCUUUGGCUAAUUAUCUUCGAAGGGAGAAGUUGGUGAAGGAUACCAGAAUUGAAGUCGAAGAGACACUAGAAUCAUUUCUAUGGAUGUUAUCCCAUAAUUCUUCAUUUGAAGACCUUCAAGUUCGAUUUGGUCACAGCGGGGAUAUUUUCCAUUGGCAAAUGAAGAAUUUCUUUGACAUCAUCCCUAUUCUCUCCAAGAAUUUUUUGAAGCCUCCAAAUCCCAGUCAAGUACAUCCGAAGAUUUAG